rnacentral:miRNA from 1 species
ACUUGGACAUAAUGGAUGCGAG